rnacentral:rRNA from 1 species
UACGUAGGGUGCAAGCGUUAAUCGGAAUUACUGGGCGUAAAGCGUGCGCAGGCGGUUUUGUAAGUCAGAUGUGAAAUCCCCGGGCUUAACCUGGGAACUGCGUUUGAAACUACAAGGCUAGAGUGUGGCAGAGGGGGGUGGAAUUCCACGUGUAGCAGUGAAAUGCGUAGAGAUGUGGAGGAAUACCGAUGGCGAAGGCAGCCCCCUGGGCCAAUACUGACGCUCAUGCACGAAAGCGUGGGGAGCAAACAGG